rnacentral:rRNA from 1 species
CCUACGGGAGGCAGCAGUGAGGAAUAUUGGUCAAUGGACGAGAGUCUGAACCAGCCAAGCAGCGUGAAGGAUGACGGUACAGAGGGUCGUAAACUUCUUUUAUAUGGGAACAAAACAGGGUAUGCAUACCCGGAUGUAUGUACCUGAAGAAAAAGCAUCGGCUAACUCCGUGCCAGCAGCCGCGGUAAUACGGAGGAUGCGAGCGUUAUCCGGAUUUAAUGGGUUUAAAGGGGGCGUAGGGGGUUUGUUAAGUCAGGUGUGAAAGGCUGCGGCUCAACCGUAAGCUUGCAGUUGAACCUGGCAGUCUUGAGUACAAUAGAGGUAUGCGGAAUGCGUGGUGUAGCGGUGAAAUGCAUAGAUAUCGCGAAGAACUCCGAUUGCGAAGGCAGCACGCUGGAUUGACACUGACGCUGAUGCACGAAAGUGUGGGUAUCGAACAGGAUUAGAUACCCCUGUAGUC